UAGCAUAUCAAUAAGCGGAGGAAAAGAAACAACAGGGAUUGCCCUAGUAACGGCGAGUGAAGCGGCAGCAGCUCAAAUUUGAAAUCUGGCUUCGGCCCGAGUUGUAAUUUGUAGAGGAAGCUUUUGGUGAGGCACCUUCUGAGUCCCCUGGAACGGGGCGCCAUAGAGGGUGAGAGCCCCGUAUAGUCGGAUGCCGAUCCAAUGUAAAGCUCCUUCGACGAGUCGAGUAGUUUGGGAAUGCUGCUCAAAAUGGGAGGUAAAUUUCUUCUAAAGCUAAAUACCGGCCAGAGACCGAUAGCGCACAAGUAGAGUGAUCGAAAGAUGAAAAGCACUUUGAAAAGAGGGUUAAAUAGCACGUGAAAUUGUUGAAAGGGAAGCGUUUGUGACCAGACUUGCGCCGUUCCGAUCAUCCGGUGUUCUCACCGGUGCACUCGGGGCGGCUCAGGCCAGCAUCGGUUUUGGCGGGGGGAUAAAGGUCCGGGGAACGUAGCUCCUCCGGGAGUGUUAUAGCCCCGGGCGUAAUGCCCUCGCCGGGACCGAGGUUCGCGCAUCUGCAAGGAUGCUGGCGUAAUGGUCAUCAACGACCCGUCUUGAAACACGGACCAAGGAGUCAAGGUUUUGCGCGAGUGUUUGGGUGUAAAACCCGCACGCGUAAUGAAAGUGAACGUAGGUGAGAGCUUCGGCGCAUCAUCGACCGAUCCUGAUGUAUUCGGAUGGAUUUGAGUAAGAGCGUUAAGCCUUGGACCCGAAAGAUGGUGAACUAUGCUUGGAUAGGGUGAAGCCAGAGGAAACUCUGGUGGAGGCUCGCAGCGGUUCUGACGUGCAAAUCGAUCGUCAAAUCUGAGCAUGGGGGCGAAAGACUAAUCGAACCAUCUAGUAGCUGGUUAC
rnacentral:rRNA from 1 species